GAUGAACGCUGGCGGCGUGCCUAAUACAUGCAAGUCGAGCGAACAGAUAAGGAGCUUGCUCCUUUGACGUUAGCGGCGGACGGGUGAGUAACACGUGGGUAACCUACCUAUAAGACUGGAAUAACUCCGGGAAACCGGGGCUAAUGCCGGAUAACAUUUAGAACCGCAUGGUUCUAAAGUGAAAGAUGGUUUUGCUAUCACUUAUAGAUGGACCCGCGCCGUAUUAGCUAGUUGGUAAGGUAACGGCUUACCAAGGCAACGAUACGUAGCCGACCUGAGAGGGUGAUCGGCCACACUGGAACUGAGACACGGUCCAGACUCCUACGGGAGGCAGCAGUAGGGAAUCUUCCGAAAUGGGCGAAAGCCUGACGGAGCAACGCCGCGUGAGUGAUGAAGGUCUUCGGAUCGUAAAACUCUGUUAUUAGGGAAGAACAAAUGUGUAAGUAACUGUGCACGUCUUGACGGUACCUAAUCAGAAAGCCACGGCUAACUACGU
rnacentral:rRNA from 1 species